AAGGUCAGCCUAUACCGAAGCCUUGCCUUCUCCUGCAACACAGGGGCAGCGCGUGAGACGCCAUUACCCUUGGAGCUCUUUCUGUGCCAAUGUACAGGCCCUGCUCCCACCAGCCCAUCCUCACUCAGCCACUGAACCAAGAGAAAGAGAGAAGCUCUUUGAAGAGAUGGCAGGUGCCUGGAGAUGGACAUAUGUAUCAUCAGAGUGGACACAUGCUGUCGCCUGCUGCCUGCAGAGGCCCUCAAUGAAGCAGGUUCCAGAUGAAGCUCCUGGAGGAGACCAGACAUAAAAAUCAGCUACAAAGGCCAUUGGAGGUCACCGGAUUCAGCAUUCACACCCCGAAAAUCACAAGCUCCUCUAAUACCAUGGUCAGUUACUGGCAAAGCUGGGCUCAGGGCACACGCCCUCUGCUGCCAGCCUCCACCACACUAUCUCUCAAGAUAUCUGCCUAGAUGGAGAAGUCGCCAGGACCGACACGGGGAAAUACGUCCCUUCCUGCCUCCCUGCUGGCACAUGCUCAGAAUUCAGAGUAUCCAUGUGACUGAGGUGCUGCAUUAGGAGUACAGGAGGGCCUCUGCAGAAGGCAAGGCCAAGAUCAGGUCUACAGAGUCACAGAGAUUCAUGUGUACAGUUAUUCUGCCCUGGGUAAAUAGUAGGUCACGGCUUGUGUGAAAUAGGGGUACCAACGCCCCGACCUGGCUGCUGUGCUGAUUAACGGGGGACCAUCAGGUGCAUAAGCAGUGUCUUAGGUACUCAGCAAAGGCUGGCUCCCUUUCCUGGAGCCCAGCUAGA